rnacentral:rRNA from 1 species
GACGAACGCUGGCGGCGUGCUUAACACAUGCAAGUCGAGCGGUAAGGCCCUUUCGGGGGUACACGAGCGGCGAACGGGUGAGUAACACGUGGGUGACCUGCCCUCAGCUCUGGGAUAAGCCUGGGAAACUGGGUCUAAUACUGGAUAUGACUCCACGGUGCAUGUCGUGGGGUGGAAAGCCUUGUGCGGCUGAGGAUGGGCCCGCGGCCUAUCAGCUUGUUGGUGGGGNGAUGGCCUACCAAGGCGACGACGGGUAGCCGGCCUGAGAGGGCGACCGGCCACACUGGGACUGAGACACGGCCCAGACUCCUACGGGAGGCAGCAGUGGGGAAUUGUUCGCAAUGGGCGCAAGCCUGACGACGCAACGCCGCGUGGAGGACGAAGAUCUUCGGGUCGUAAACUCCUGUCGAGCGGGACGAA